GAUGAACGCUGGCGGCGUGCCUAAUACAUGCAAGUCGAGCGAACGGACGAGAAGCUUGCUUUUCUGAUGUUAGCGGCGGACGGGUGAGUAACACGUGGAUAACCUACCUAUAAGACUGGGAUAACUUCGGGAAACCGGAGCUAAUACCGGAUAAUAUUUUGAACCGCAUGGUUCAAAAGUGAAAGACGGUCUUGCUGUCACUUAUAGAUGGAUCCGCGCUGCAUUAGCUAGUUGGUAAGGUAACGGCUUACCAAGGCAACGAUGCAUAGCCGACCUGAGAGGGUGAUCGGCCACACUGGAACUGAGACACGGUCCAGACUCCUACGGGAGGCAGCAGUAGGGAAUCUUCCGCAAUGGGCGAAAGCCUGACGGAGCAACGCCGCGUGAGUGAUGAAGGUCUUCGGAUCGUAAAACUCUGUUAUUAGGGAAGAACAUAUGUGUAAGUAACUGUGCACAUCUUGACGGUACCUAAUCAGAAAGCCACGGCUAACUACGUGCCAGCAGCCGCGGUAAUACGUAGGUGGCAAGCGUUAUCCGGAAUUAUUGGGCGUAAAGCGCGCGUAGGCGGUUUUUUAAGUCUGAUGUGAAAGCCCACGGCUCAACCGUGGAGGGUCAUUGGAAACUGGAAGACUUGAGUGCAGAAGAGGAAAGUGGAAUUCCAUGUGUAGCGGUGAAAUGCGCAGAGAUGUGGAGGAACACCAGUGGCGAAGGCGACUUUCUGGUCUGUAACUGACGCUGAUGUGCGAAAGCGUGGGGAUCAAACAGGAUUAGAUACCCUGGUAGUCCACGCCGUAAACGAUGAGUGCUAAGUGUUAGGGGGUUUCCGCCCCUUAGUGCUGCAGCUAACGCAUUAAGCACUCCGCCUGGGGAGUACGACCGCAAGGUUGAAACUCAAAGGAAUUGACGGGGGCCCGCACAAGCGGUGGAGCAUGUGGUUUAAUUCGAAGCAACGCGAAGAACCUUACCAAAUCUUGACAUCCUUUGACAACUCUAGAGAUAGAGCCUUCCCCUUCGGGGGACAAAGUGACAGGUGGUGCAUGGUUGUCGUCAGCUCGUGUCGUGAGAUGUUGGGUUAAGUCCCGCAACGAGCGCAACCCUUAAGCUUAGUUGCCAUCAUUAAGUUGGGCACUCUAAGUUGACUGCCGGUGACAAACCGGAGGAAGGUGGGGAUGACGUCAAAUCAUCAUGCCCCUUAUGAUUUGGGCUACACACGUGCUACAAUGGACAAUACAAAGGGCAGCGAAACCGCGAGGUCAAGCAAAUCCCAUAAAGUUGUUCUCAGUUCGGAUUGUAGUCUGCAACUCGACUACAUGAAGCUGGAAUCGCUAGUAAUCGUAGAUCAGCAUGCUACGGUGAAUACGUUCCCGGGUCU
rnacentral:rRNA from 1 species